UUGUCUCCUGAAGAACUCCUG
rnacentral:misc_RNA from 1 species